rnacentral:tmRNA from 1 species
GGGUAGCAUGGUAUCGACAGAAUAUAUGUAGAUAUGAUUGCAAGUGGUAGGCAUACCUAAAAUGUAUUUUUAAAAAUAAAUGACGAAACUAAUUAUGGUUUCGCUUCUUUUGCUCCAGUAGCAGCUUAAUAAGUUAAGUAUAAGAAGCACUUCUAUUUAAUCAUUCUUACGGAUUAUUUUAGAGGUUUAUAUUAGUAAGAUAUGUUAAUUUAAUUGUUUAGGUUAAAUUAAUGAAUAAUUACUAAACUAUGCUAUUAAACUUGGUGCGUUAGAUCCGAUUUAUUAGCUAAAUUUAAUUCUAACUAAACUUGUAGUAAUUGUAUUUUACAGUAUUUUGGACAGGAGUUCGAUUCUCCUCUACUCCACCA